rnacentral:lncRNA from 1 species
ACAUCCUAGUAGAUUAACUUUGAUUUUGAAAGCUAAAAAAGAAAAAAGAAAUGGAAAGGAAAACAUGGUGCAACAACGCUAUAUGAAGGUUCGAAGAAAGCUUACCUUUUUUGCUGUUAGGUCAAAGAAAGAACAAAGCCUCUUUGUAAAAUGGUCUUUGUCUUGGGCUAAUUUUUGUGCCCACAUACACGGGAAAAGGUCCUUAAACUACCAUGAUUAAAGGAAACAAGAGGCAAGGGGAUGGGUGGCAGCUUAGCUCGUAAAG